AGCUCUGUAAGCGUAUACCAAAGUUGUUGCAGUUAAAACGCUCGUAGUCGGAUUUUAGCGGGCUCGUGGGUGUGCGCGUCAAGCGUGCGUCUAUCGGGUCUGCUUUUGUGGAUGGGGCGCGUGGGCGGCUUCACUGUCGGUCGCGCGCGCCGCCACCGUUUACUGUGAAAAAAUUAGAGUGUUCAAAGCAGGCGUUUGCCGUGAAUACAUUAGCAUGGAAUAAUAGAAUAGGACUUGGUUCUAUUUUGUUGGUUUGUGAGGGCCGAGUAAUGAUUAAGAGGGACGGUUGGGGGCAUUUGUAUUCCGACGUCAGAGGUGAAAUUCUUAGAUCGCCGGAAGACAAACAGCUGCGAAAGCGUCUGCCAAGGACGUUU
rnacentral:rRNA from 1 species